AACGUAGGAGACGAACGUUAUCCGGAGUUACUGGGCGUAAAGGGCGUGUAGGCGGUUUGUUAAGUCUGGCGUGAAAGCUCUCGGCUAAACCGGGAGAGGUCGUUGGAUACUGGCAAACUUGAGGAUGGUAGAGGCGUGUGGAAUUCCGGGUGUAGUGGUGAAAUGCGUAGAGAUCCGGAGGAACACCAGUGGCGAAGGCGACACGGCUGGGCCUACCUGACGCUAAAGCGCG
rnacentral:rRNA from 1 species